rnacentral:rRNA from 1 species
CAUGGAGGGUGAGAAUCCCGUCCGGUUGAUCAUUUGCGUUUUACGAUACGCUUUCUAAGAGUCAAGUUGUUUGGGAUUGCAGCUUAAAAUGGGAGGUAAAUUUCUCCUAAGGCUAAAUAACGGCGAGAGACCGAUAGCGAACAAGUACCGUGAGGGAAAGAUGAAAAGAACUUUGAAAAGAGAGUUAAACAGUACGUGAAAUUGUUGAAAGGGAAACGAUUGAAGCCAGUCGUACCUUCGGGUAAUCAGCCUUUCGGGUGUGAUUCUGUGGAGUGUGAGGAGCUUAAACACCUUCAUGUUUUGCAUAUUCGUACUCUUGGGUGUACUUGCCCGUGUGGUUGGUUAACAUCAAUUUUGGUGGUCAUAAAAUGACUGGAGGAAUGUAGCUUCGAUCUUGUAUUGAAGUGUUAUAGCCUUCGGUAGAUGUGAUGAUCGAGAUUGAGGAUUGCAACGGAUACCCUUCGGGGCUACCUGUCUGGUCUCUGAUCGUUGCUCUGGUGCCGAAAGCUUGCUUACGGUUAUCAAAGUCGAUGGUCAAUAGGUUAGAACGGGUUAAAUUCGUUAAGGAUGUUGACGUAAUGG